rnacentral:rRNA from 1 species
GAUCCUGGCUUAGGAUGAAUGCUAGCUACAGGCUUAACACAUGCAAGUCGAGGGGCAGCAUUGGGAUAGCUUGCUAUUCAGAUGGCGACCGGCGCACGGGUGAGUAACGCGUAUCCAACCUUCCUGCCAGUAGGGAACAGCCCGGCGAAAGUCGGAUUAAUGCCCUAUGUUCUUCAAUGUGGACAUCUAAGUUGAAGGAAAGAUUCAUCGCUGGCAGAUGGGGAUGCGUCCGAUUAGCUUGCCGGCGGGGUAACGGCCCACCGGGGCGACGAUCGGUAGGGGUUCUGAGAGGAAGGUCCCCCACACUGGUACUGAGACACGGACCAGACUCCUACGGGAGGCAGCAGUGAGGAAUAUUGGUCAAUGGGCGUAAGCCUGAACCAGCCAAGUAGCGUGCAAGGAUGACGGCCCUACGGGUUGUAAACUGCUUUUAUGCGGGGAUAAAGUGCGGCACGUGUGCCGCUUUGCAGGUACCGCAUGAAUAAGGACCGGCUAAUUCCGUGCCAGCCGCCGC